AUUGAACGCUGGCGGCAGGCCUAACACAUGCAAGUCGAGCGGAUGAAGGGAGCUUGCUCCUGGAUUCAGCGGCGGACGGGUGAGUAAUGCCUAGGAAUCUGCCUGGUAGUGGGGGAUAACGUCCGGAAACGGGCGCUAAUACCGCAUACGUCCUGAGGGAGAGAGUGGGGGAUCUUCGGACCUCACGCUAUCAGAUGAGCCUAGGUCGGAUUAGCUAGUUGGUGGGGUAAAGGCCUACCAAGGCGACGAUCCGUAACUGGUCUGAGAGGAUGAUCAGUCACACUGGAACUGAGACACGGUCCAGACUCCUACGGGAGGCAGCAGUGGGGAAUAUUGGACAAUGGGCGAAAGCCUGAUCCAGCCAUGCCGCGUGUGUGAAGAAGGUCUUCGGAUUGUAAAGCACUUUAAGUUGGGAGGAAGGGCAGUAAGUUAAUACCUUGCUGUUUUGACGUUACCAACAGAAUAGGCACCGGCUAACUUCGUG
rnacentral:rRNA from 1 species